rnacentral:lncRNA from 1 species
GGUGUAUGCAUUUUCCUUUAUAACUCUUAUCUUAUUUUGCCACAAGUAUUGUAGUUCAAAAAUGAAACAAACAAAAAAAUAAGAAGAGAAAGACAUAAAAAAUUAAAUUAAAUUACUGUUUUGGCUUAUGACUAAAAUAUGUAUUUCUGGUGUGACAGAGAAGGAAGAGCAUGUUGGCAGACAUGUAUGGGAUUAUUUAAAUGUGCAGCGUGUUUUAGUUUGACAGAAUUUACCUCAGUUUGUAUUCUCAGCUGGGUGAGUUUUUAUAUCAAUUAUUAUAAAAAUUUUGAUUUCAAAUGUAAGGGAUCAGAAAAGUAGGUGUUCUGUUAUUAAAAUAACCAUUUAUGGUGCUGACAUUCAGUUUUCCCUAGCCAUUCCUAAAUAUAAAUUUGUCCUUGUAAUAAUUUUCAUGCCUCACUGAUUGAAUAUAUACCCAAGUAAAAUAACAAAAUUGCUACAAUAAAUCACUGCAAAAGCAGAUAGAAAGUUUCAAAGGGAAAAAAGAAUCUACGCAUACAAUUUGAUUUACAGCACUAUGAGUAAUAGAUCAACUGCAUUGGUCUAUAUAAUCAUUGUCUGAUUGCAAUGGUGCACUUAUAAUACUCUUAAGGAGGCUCGAGGGUAUAAAAAUUUCAGAAAAAAUUAAACAAUUGUUUUUCAUUACAAAUUUUAUUUAUUACCUUUUGUAGUUGUUACUUUAUCAUAUGGUACAAAAAACAUUCAAAACAAUUAAUUCGUGUUGGCCCCAGAUGACUUUUAAAAUGUAAACAUCAUUGAAAAAGUUCCAAAUUAUCUCCCUUUGGAGGAAAAAUGCCAUUUUUUGGCUUUAAAAUUUAAAUAUCUCUUUUAACUCAUCUGUGACCUAUAUUUUUUAAUAUAAUUUCGAUAUAUGCUGUACUUAAACUAAAUUAUUGUAAAAUUUGAGCGAUUUCUGUAAUAAAUUUCUUUUUUUAUUUCGAUAUUACCUUUAUUUCUCCUAUUAGGUCAACAGAAAAAUUUUUUUUUUUACAAAGAUGUAUGCUUCUUUCGAAGGCAGAUUGUGAGCGCAAAUGAACGGUGACCCCAUUUUUUUAUUUUAUUUUUCUAUUAACUAUAAGAUAAAGUUCAUUUAUAGAAAAAUAUAGAGAAAUCCUAUAUAAAUGAUUUAGACCCGCGAACCCCCUUAACGAUAUUUUUUUAUUAUAACUGAAGUCUGGAGUUUCAGUCAAAGGCCUUUGACUUAAUUCAGUGUUCGUAAUUUAUUAUCCAAGUCUUAUGGUCACAAAGUAUAAGAACAUUAGAACCAAACUCAGAUUCA